UCUCCGUUGGUGAACCAGCGGAGGGAUCAUUACCGAGUUUACAACUCCCAAACCCAAUGUGAACCAGACCAAACUGUUGCCUCGGCGGGGUCACGCCCCGGGUGCGUCGCAGCCCCGCAACCAGGCGCCCGCCGGAGGGACCAACCAAACUCUUUCUGUAGUCCCCUCGCGGACGUUAUUUUUACAGCUCUGAGCAAAAAUUCAAAAUGAAUCAAAACUUUCAACAACGGAUCUCUUGGUUCUG
rnacentral:misc_RNA from 1 species